GGCCCUUGGCCAACUUGCAAGAUUCCGUUUCAGUUUGGAGGUUGAAAUCUGCCAUGUGGUGACAUUUGAGUCCAAUGGCUUAGGAGCACCGUUGUCCAGAAUGCACCACGUCUGCAUUUUGUACGAGUGCCCCCUCUUCGCAAGGUGCAGCCUCUGUGUUCAUCGAGAGAGGCUAAACACACGAGAAUCUUCAAGCCAGAAAUUGCCUGACUUCUCCCCGGAGAGCAUCUGCCUGGGGAGGGCAGGAUAGACAAGCUGAUAACAAUUUAAAAAAUAUGUAAAACGAGACUCUCCAGUUAUGGGAGCACAGCCUUGAGCCUCUGAGUUCCUGGCUCACUGAGGAAGUGGAUUUGAAAUGCAACGAGGAAAUGAGGAGAGAUGAGGAAACGGGUGAUCUGAUCUUCCAAAGGGCAUCUGAUCCUAUUUCUAAAUUCAGUUCCUGAAAUGAUGAUGCAGAGCAAUUGUGGAAAAAAAAAAGGACAAAGAGUGAAUAUAGUAUACUCCACUAAAGUACAGUGGAGAUUGUAAGAAUCCCUGAGACCCAGAGAUACUGUCGCUAAAAAGUGGGAAUACAGCCCUGCAGACACCUCUGUGUGCAGACACCUCCUUAGCAUAUGUUGACAAACUCACUGAAGGCAGUCACUAUAGAGGUUCUGGGGAGUCAUGGAAGGAAACUCAUUCUGAAAAGUGGGUAAUCCUGACAGGAAAUGAGGCCAGUCUUAGAACCAAGAAGGGCACAGGCCUGGGACCUGCCUUGGAGGCCUUCCUCCAAGUGGUUCCCGAGGCAGGAACUAGCAGCCCCAUUCCUGGCAGGCAGCCAGCCCACCUUGAGCAGGUGUGAAUGAGUAAUAAUCACAGUGACCUCUAGGCUCCCAAUGAUCUCUUCCCCCUGAACAGCAGUGAAAGAAAUUAGAAAUGGCCCUGGGACAGGAGGAAGACUGUGUUCCCACCCCGAGGUCCGAGAGGACUGCUGUCUGAGCAGAGCCACUCCUGCCACAGCCCCCCACCCCCCAUGCCUUCUGAUAAGCGGCCAUCUGUUUAUGUGCAUGGAGGGGGCUGGUCCACAAGGGCUGGCACAGAGGUGGCACACAGCUGCUGCGGGCAGCCUCAUCUGAAAGUAACACAGGCCAGCGGGUCCUCUCUUUCCACUGAAGUGAAGCAGUAGGCCGGGCCUGGAUACCACAUGGCCAACAAGUAGGGUCCUAAAGAUGCUCCCGUGGCCACAGAAGGAACCCCAGUACUUCCUCUGGCUGCCUGGGUGGUCACCAUUCAAGAAAGACAAGCCCCUGCUUCAGCGACCACAGUGAGGGUCCCCCGGAGGGAGCCUGCAGAAGCUGGUCAUCCACAGAUGGGGACAGCCUCGAGGAUAAGCCAAGUUCCUGCUCUCUGGGAGGUGGCAGCAGGGAGAUGCCCGUGAGGACAGAUUUGCAGGCAAAUUGUUAGAAAUAUUUGGGGAAGAGAAUCUCAGAGAUGGUCUUUCUUCUAAUCUGGGUGGGUAGGGGCUCCUGCAUGAAGAUUCGAAUAUUAAGGAAGGGUGACUUUAUUUUGUAUACCAGAUUGGUGAGGUGGGAAAUGUCAACCACAUGGAGAGAGAUGCACACAUUCAAACUACAAAUCUUAUCAUGUCACUCUCCUGCUUAAAACCCACCAAUGGCUUGCUUCGGGGUGAAGCCCAAACCCUUUCCAUAGGCCCCAGGUCUGGAGCCUUCAGCCACACACCGCAGCCACGCGGACAUCCUCAGGUCUCCAGCCCUUGGUACUUGCUUCUGCUUCUGUUUGGAACACUUCCUGUUCCAAUCAUCUAGAUAAUUCUUGUUCACCCUUAGAGAUUCAGCUUGAAAUGUCACCUCCCCUGGGAAGUCUUCCUUUGGCCAUCUCUCCUCCUGGAUUAGAUGAAGCCCUCCUGCCCAGGGUUUGGGCAAUCGCAUUGUUUCACUGUCCUUGAUUGAUGCGAUCUUCUCAGAGAGGGAUUCUGAGAAAGCUGUUACUGCAUCCCCAGUGUUUUGUAUGUAGUUAGCACAUUGACACGUGUCGAAUGUCUACAUGGUGAAGGUACAUGAUUUACACAAAGGGAUCAUGUACUCUUGUUUGCCUCCAACAAUGCUGUGAGCAUUGAGCACGGCAUUCAAGCACCUCAUGCUCUAAACCUCAUCAGCUCUAUCCCACCUGAUUAUGUUUUCCUUUUCAUUGAUGGUGCCUAACGCAGAAGAGGUACACCAUAAGCACUUAUUAAAUUGCCCAAGUGAUAUGCUGUCUUUUUUCCCUGCUUGAUAGAAUGAAUGCCUCUCUUCCACCCCUGCCUGGCUAACUCCCACUGACCCUCUAAGGUCCCGUUGACAUGUAUCUCUUUACGAAGCAGUCUCUGUCUCCCCCAGGCAGAGUAAGUGGCCUCACCGCUGUAAUCUCCAGCACCUUGCUCCUAUCUCUUCGUGGCUCCUACUGUGUACAGCUAUGAUGUGUUUACAAAGCUGGCUCGCUGACUCAGUUUGGAUCAUUGAUGGUACUGGCACGGUGCCUUCUUCCAUUCAUUGUCUCCAGCAUCUAGUAUGGCCUCUGUCACAUAAUUGACGUUCAGCAAGUAUUUGUUGAAGGAAGGAAUGAUUGAAUAGAUGCACGAGUAAAUAAAUGUAGGAAGGAAGUUUUACAGUUUCAUGCAUAGAAAACUACCUGGUAGGCUGAAAAAUCCAUUGGAACCCAUCCCAAUUUACUGCUGCAGACCUCCAGACCCUGUCAGUUGCGAUCAGAAUCAGGGAAAUCAUCCCAGCAUGCCAGAACUAGGUAGAAUUCUUUGUAGCUGAUGAAACUGAGGUCCUAAAUGUGAAGGUUAUGCAGCAAAUUACAUAAUAAUGAAAUUGGUCAAGAUAUCAAGAUUGAUACCCAUGCAUUCCAAGGGUCAUUAAUCAUCAGGACAAGUUGUCACCUCUCUUUCAGACAGAGAGAGAGAGAAAGGCAGAGACAUAGGCAGAGGGAGAAGCAGGCUCCAUGCAG